rnacentral:rRNA from 1 species
UACGUAGGGGGCUAACGUUGUCCGGAUUUACUGGGUGUAAAGGGUGCUCAGGCGGUUGUGUAAGUCAGAAGUGAAAUCCUAGGGCUUAACUCUAGAACUGCUUUUGAUACUGCGCAGCUUGAAUGUGGAAGAGGAGGAUGGAAUUUCUGGUGUAGCAGUGAAAUGCGUAGAUAUCAGAAAGAACACCAUUGGCGAAGGCGGUCCUCUGGUCCAUUAUUGACGUUAAAGCACGAAAGAGUGGGGAGCAAACAGG